ACUGGAGGCGAGACAAGACGAACGGAUGUCGUGCUUCACGUUUCUCUUCAAGCGCCUCCGAAAGAACAAGAAGCAAACAUGGAAAAGGUGACGGAGUGCGGUGCCUGAAACCCCGCUAUCGCUGUUUUUCAGUGCGGGAGGUGUUCACUUUCGAGAAGGCCACCUUUUUUGCUUAUCUUCACUUGCCUCGUGGUCGGUUCUAUCGAUUAUAGAGCUCUAGGGCUCUUCUUUGCAUCGUGUUGUCCGCUGGCAGCGCAGAACAAAGAGAACACGGAAAAGGUCCAAGGUUGUUGUCUGCCUUACUUGAUGCCACGUUACUUGACGAUGGUGUGCAUCAAAGGGGAAGGAGUGUUUUAAAAGGUGCUCGACUGCUGAAGGCAGCUAAAAGGGUUGGAAUUCAACAUCCUGUGACAUCACGGUUGGUCUACAUCAGCCACGUUGCAGACGUGAUAUCUGGCAGAAAGAUGGAACGAUGUCUGCCAACUUGAGAUGCAGGUGAAGCGUGUAGCUUUUCGUCGGGAGAAAAUGGUUUACGAGUAGGACUUGUGACUUCGAUCUUGAAGGUUUUCCUGUUUGCAAUUGGCUUUUACUAAUGCACUAAAGUGUUACAAAAAUUCUUCUCUGCAAUCACGAAUAAGGCUUCCAUCAACGGAUCGUAGUCCGCAUCUGAACCAAACCCAUUUUCAAACUGGACACUCAAUCUAAACUCUUCACUCGCUUGUACACGGGGCGUGGAAGAUCCUCGUGUAGGCGCAUGCACAAAGGGAGAACGGGAAUGGAAUACCGGCAUCUUGCGGCUUGACCCCUUCAGGUUGAUGGGGAAGAACUACUUGUGAACUUCUUUUUGGAAUCGGAGCAACGGGGAGGCAAGGGGAAACACUUUCCAUGCGAUGCAUCUAUAACAGUUUCACGAACAGUAGACGGCAGAUCAAAUGAAGUGCGUUGCUUUUUCAGACAAGGCGAGUGAUGGAAAGACUUCUUUUCGGUUCCCAGUUUUUUUGCACAACGGCUACGUGGAAUUGUGUGGGCGAGUUGGCGGGGGCGGGAUGGACAAGGUUGUGUCGAUCGCUGAGAUUCUAAAGAGGAAAGUUCCUGAUCUCGUGCAGAACUCCUUCUUUUCCGACUUUGACUUGAUGAAGAAAUUCAAGCAGGAAAACCUCAUAGUAUCAAAGUUUUUGUGAUCAUCGUUUUUUUUUGCAUCUCUGUAGAGCUAACUCUCCACUUUCACACACCCUGGACAGCCCUUCUGCCUCGUGUUUGUACCUCGUAUCUCGUGGCGAGUUCCUCAGCAGUCACAUCGACAUAAAACUCGAAGAAAGGUCCGUUUUUUUUCUCGCCAGAUCGUGCUGACUAGGUGAACACAAAAAUCGCCCUGCGAAAAUGGAACCAGUGAAGCUACGUUGACUUCCGUUAACGGGCCUACCUCUCCGAUUAUCUUGCUGCCGUGGCUUGUACUUCAACGUAAACAUCCAACGUCUCAAAAACUUUUCUGUUCUGCCUGAAACCCUCUGUGGCUGUUCCAAUGCAUGCUUUCAGCUGGCUGAACUCUGAGUCUUGCGCUGUCCGCUUUCCUGCUCCUUUGAAAGGGACUGUUUCUGCGUCGUUUCGUGGUCCUCUGUGCUUCCGUGACGGCUUCUAAAGACGCUGCUCUGUCUCCGGUUGCUUCCUGGUCGGUUUUGCAUGCAUGGUCCUCGUAUUGUGGUUGCCUGUGGGAGCUAGGCCUAGAAAUCCCCCUCUUAUAAUGUACAAGAGGGAGUUUAGCUUCAGUUGUGUCUUGACUGAUGCUCCAUGCGCGCGGAGUUCUGUUGCGAUUCUCGAGGGUUGAAGAUAUCAUAGCAAGACAGAGAGCAGCAGAUAGAGAGACAAAGAGGUAGAACAACAGGACGACAGACAGUGGAGAGAUGGAGGCAGAGAGCGGUGUGCAGAGCCCCAGGUCGUUGCGCCGUCUUCAGGCGACGCCAGCAGCAGGCGACACGGAGUGUACAGACACCUCCGGCGAUAGGGUUUUGGACAGCCGAGACAGAAGCGUAUUUUCCACGAUGCCGAAGCAACAGGGGAAAGGUGAAUGCGGAACACAGAAGAAGGUAGUGGAGAGGAGCGGCGAGAGGGGAGGAAAUGGAGGAGUACGUCGGGGAGAAAGGGGUCGAAAAGACAACGCAAGCCACCCAGUGACGAAAGGAGGCGGAUGCCUGGAGAUAAAAGGCGCAGCACGCAUGCAGAAAGCCGUCGAACAAGCCCUUGCGGCUCUGGAGCAG
rnacentral:lncRNA from 1 species